UCUCUAAAAAGCUAGAACCCUUGACAACUUUUCCUGAACAGCCUACGAGUCUAUAGGGUUGAUACUAAACCUCUAGGUAUCCCUAUUCUGUCCCCUCUAAGGACUACCUCUGAUCCAUCCUGACCUCUGAACCUGACUACCUUGCCUCUGCAGACUAGGUAGUACCACUAGUAGAAGAACCAAUCCAACCCUAGAAUGACGUCAAACAGUCAAAUCUAGAACCACUAGGCCAGCUGGAAGGCAU
rnacentral:lncRNA from 1 species